GGAGUUAGUGGCGGACGGGUGAGUAACACGUGGGAACGUGCCUUUAGGUUCGGAAUAACUCAGGGAAACUUGUGCUAAUACCGAAUGUGCCCUUCGGGGGAAAGAUUUAUCGCCUUUAGAGCGGCCCGCGUCUGAUUAGCUAGUUGGUGAGGUAAAGGCUCACCAAGGCGACGAUCAGUAGCUGGUCUGAGAGGAUGAUCAGCCACAUUGGGACUGAGACACGGCCCAAACUCCUACGGGAGGCAGCAGUGGGGAAUCUUGCGCAAUGGGCGAAAGCCUGACGCAGCCAUGCCGCGUGAAUGAUGAAGGUCUUAGGAUUGUAAAAUUCUUUCAGUAGGGACGAUAAUGACGGUACCUACAGAAGAAGCCCCGGCUAACUUCGUGCCAGCAGCCGCGGUAAUACGAAGGGGGCUAGCGUUGCUCGGAAUUACUGGGCGUAAAGGGAGCGUAGGCGGACAUUUAAGUCAGGGGUGAAAUCCCGGGGCUCAACCUCGGAAUUGCCUUUGAUACUGGGUGUCUUGAGUAUGAGAGAGGUAUGUGGAACUCCGAGUGUAGAGGUGAAAUUCGUAGAUAUUCGGAAGAACACCAGUGGCGAAGGCGACAUACUGGCUCAUUACUGACGCUGAGGCUCGAAAGCGUGGGGAGCAAACAGGAUUAGAUACCCUGGUAGUCCACGCCGUAAACGAUG
rnacentral:rRNA from 1 species